AAGCUUAGCUGCUACACAGAACAGCUCUAUCCAUGCCUUGACAGCUCCCAGACCCAGCUGUCAGAGGGCACCUUUCACUCUCUUUAACCAGCUGAAGUGCCCUGGCUGUCCUGAACUCAACACCUCCACACUCUCAGCUCUCCUGCCUGAGCCCGACAUGGGAGGCAGAGCAAAAGGCCACCAUCAUUUUAGCUGCCCCCUCCCACUCCCAGAGAACCCACUGGGUUAAAGGCUGCUAUACAUGUUAAAAUAGGGACCCCAACAUGUGUGAGUAUGUGUGUAGUAAUUUUUUAUUUUCCUAAAAUCUUGAGACUAUUUUAGGGGGCAGGGAAGAAGACAGACAAGUUAGUGACAGGGAAGUCCUUGAUUAACUGUUUCUUUCCACAUCUUAAUUUCCUUUCUGAUAGAAAAUUCAAAUAAAACUGGGGGGCUGUCACAGUUUGUCAGUGGUGGUGGGGGAUGGGAGGCAGGAUGUCUUGGAAACAUAGGAGGGCAUAGGGACAUGAUAGUAGCAACAAGCUUGGAUAUUUCCCAAGCGGGGCCUUCAGAGCCACUGUCUGGGGAGGAGAGCUCUUUGUUCAUAAAAUCUCUUAGCACAAUGCCUAGAAAACAGCAAGCACUUAAUAAUUGAAGGUGUAUUUCAUUAUUACUAUUAAAAUAUGUGAGGGUUUUUAAAUUGACUUUUCCCCAGCCAACUACACCCUGCACAAGCUUUUACAAUGGUUUCAAA
rnacentral:lncRNA from 1 species